UACGUAGGUGACCAGCGUUGUCCGGAUUUACUGGGCGUAAAGAGCGCGCAGGCGGUCGUUCAAGUCGAGUGUGAAAGCCCCCGGCUCAACUGGGGAGGGUCACUCGAUACUGAUCGACUUUGAAGGCAGGAGAGGGAAGCGGAAUUCCCGGUGUAGUGGUGAAAUGCGUAGAUAUCAGGAGGAACACCGGUGGCGAAGGCGGGUCU
rnacentral:rRNA from 1 species